GACGAACGCUGGCGGCGUGCUUAACACAUGCAAGUCGAACGGAAAGGCCCUGCUUUUGUGGGGUGCUCGUGUGGCGCACGGGUGUGUAACAUGUGAGUAACCUGCCCUUGACUUUGGGAUAACUUCAGGAAGCUGGGGCUAAUACCGGAUAGGAGCUCCUGCUGCAUGGUGGGGGUUGGAAAGUUUCGUCGGUUGGGGAUGGACUCGCGGCUUAUCAGCUUGUUGGUGGGGUAGUGGCUUACCAAGGCUUUGACGGGUAGCCGGCCUGAGAGGGUGACCGGCCACACUGGGACUGAGAUACGGCCCAGACUCCUACGGGAGGCAGCAGUGGGGAAUAUUGCACAAUGGGCGGAAGCCUGAUGCAGCAACGCCGCGUGCGGGAUGACGGCCUUCGGGUUGUAAACCUCUUUCGCCUGUGACGAAGCGUGAGUGACGGUAAUGGGUAAAGAAGCACCGGCUAACUACGUG
rnacentral:rRNA from 1 species